rnacentral:rRNA from 1 species
UGGGGAAUAUUGGACAAUGGGCGAAAGCCUGAUCCAGCCAUGCCGCGUGUGUGAAGAAGGUCUUCGGAUUGUAAAGCACUUUAAGUUGGGAGGAAGGGCAGUUACCUAAUACGUGAUUGUUUUGACGUUACCGACAGAAUAAGCACCGGCUAACUCUGUGCCAGCAGCCGCGGUAAUACAGAGGGUGCAAGCGUUAAUCGGAAUUACUGGGCGUAAAGCGCGCGUAGGUGGUUUGUUAAGUUGGAUGUGAAAUCCCCGGGCUCAACCUGGGAACUGCAUUCAAAACUGACUGACUAGAGUAUGGUAGAGGGUGGUGGAAUUUUCUGUGUAGCGGUGAAAUGCGUAGAUAUAGGAAGGAACACCAGUGGCGAAGGCGACCACCUGGACUAAUACUGACACUGAGGUGCGAAAGCGUGGGGAGCAAACA